rnacentral:siRNA from 1 species
UGGAGCUGAACGCAUUCGAGCGUG